CGAACGCUGGCGGCGUGCUUAACACAUGCAAGUCGAGCGAUGAAGCUACUUCGGUAGUGAAUUAGCGGCGAACGGGUGAGGAACACGUGAGGAAUCUGCCUUCAACACUGGGAUAACUCCGGGAAACCGGGGCUAAUACCGGAUACGAGCUCUGAUCGCAUGAUCGGGGCUGGAAAGUUUUUCGGUUGAAGAUGACCUCGCGGCCUAUCAGCUUGUUGGUGAGGUAAUGGCUCACCAAGGCGACGACGGGUAGCCGGCCUGAGAGGGCGACCGGCCACACUGGGACUGAGACACGGCCCAGACUCCUACGGGAGGCAGCAGUGGGGAAUAUUGGGCAAUGGAGGAAACUCUGACCCAGCGACGCCGCGUGCGGGAUGAAGGCCUUCGGGUUGUAAACCGCUUUCAGUAGGGAAGAAGCGAAAGUGACGGUACCUACAGAAGAAGCACCGGCUAACUAUGUGCCAGCAGCCGCGGUAAUACAUAGGGUGCAAGCGUUGUCCGGAAUUAUUGGGCGUAAAGAGCUCGUAGGUGGUUUGAUACGUCGGAUGUGAAAUUCAGGGGCUCAACCCCUGACCUGCAUUCGAUACGGUCAAGCUAGAGUUUGGUAGGGGAGACUGGAAUUCCUGGUGUAGCGGUGGAAUGCGCAGAUAUCAGGAGGAACACCGAUGGCGAAGGCAGGUCUCUGGGCCAAUACUGACACUGAGGAGCGAAAGCGUGGGGAGCGAACAGGAUUAGAUACCCUGGUAGUCCACGCCGUAAACGGUGGGCGCUAGUUGUGCGAACCUUCCACGGUUUGUGCGACGCAGCUAACGCAUUAAGCGCCCCGCCUGGGGAGUACGAUCGCAAGAUUAAAACUUAAAGGAAUU
rnacentral:rRNA from 1 species